rnacentral:rRNA from 1 species
UACGUAGGGGGCGAGCGUUGUCCGGAUUUACUGGGCGUAAAGCGCGUGUAGGCGGCCGGAUAAGUCGGGUGUGAAAGCCCGGGGCUCAACCCCGGGAUGCCGCCCGAGACUGCUCGGCUUGAGGACGGAAGAGGGGCGUGGAAUUCCUGGUGUAGCGGUGAAAUGCGUAGAGAUCAGGAGGAACACCCGUGGCGAAGGCGGCGCCCUGGUCCGUUACUGACGCUGAGACGCGAAAGCGCGGGGAGCGAACAGG